AUACGUAGGGGGCGAGCGUUGUCCGGAAUGAUUGGGCGUAAAGGGCGCGUAGGCGGCCCGGUAAGUCUGGAGUGAAAGUCCUGUUUUUAAGAUGGGAAUUGCUUUGGAUACUGUCGGGCUUGAGUGCAGGAGGGGUCAGUGGAAUUCCCAGUGUAGCGGUGAAAUGCGUAGAGAUUGGGAGGAACACCAGUGGCGAAGGCGACUUACUGGACUGUAACUGACACUGAAGCGCGAAAGUGUGGGGAGCAAACAGGAUUAUAUACCCUGGUAGUCCGCACUGUAAACAGGGAAUGCUAGGUGUAGGUGGUAGCGACCCCUUCUGAGCCGCAGUCAACACAAUAAGCAUACCGGCUGGGGAGUACGGCCGCAAGGUUGAAGCUCAAAGAAAUUGACGGGU
rnacentral:rRNA from 1 species